rnacentral:rRNA from 1 species
CCUACGGGUGGCAGCAGUGGGGAAUAUUGCACAAUGGGGGAAACCCUGAUGCAGCGACGCCGCGUGAGUGAAGAAGUAUCUCGGUACGUAAAGCUCUAUCAGCAGGGGAGAAAAUUACGGUACCUGACUAAUAAGCCCCGGCUAACUACGUGCCCGCAGCCGCGGUAAUACGUAGGGGGCAAGCGUUAUCCGGAUUUACUGGGCGUAAAGGGAGCGUAGACGGCAGCACAAGUCUGGAGUGAAAGCCCGGGGCUGAACCCCGGAACUGCUUUUGAAACUGUGCGGCUGGAGUGCAGGAGGGGUAAGCGGAAUUCGUAGUGUAGCGGUGAAAUGCGUAGAUAUUAGGAGGAACACCGGUGGCGAAGGCGGCUUACUGGACUGUAACUGACGUUGAGGCUCGAAAGCGUGGGGAGCAAACAGGAUUAGAUACCCCAGUAGUC